GACGAACGCUGGCGGCGUGCUUAACACAUGCAAGUCGAACGGCAAGGCCCUGCUUUUGUGGGGUGCUCGAGUGGCGAACGGGUGAGUAACACGUGAGUAACCUGCCCUUGACUUUGGGAUAACUUCAGGAAACUGGGGCUAAUACCGGAUAGGAGCUCCUGCUGCAUGGUGGGGGUUGGAAAGUUUCGGCGGUUGGGGAUGGACUCGCGGCUUAUCAGCUUGUUGGUGGGGUAGUGGCUUACCAAGGCUUUGACGGGUAGCCGGCCUGAGAGGGUGACCGGCCACAUUGGGACUGAGAUAUGGCCCAGACUCCUACGGGAGGCAGCAGUGGGGAAUAUUGCACAAUGGGCGGAAGCCUGAUGCAGCAACGCCGCGGGCGGGAUGACGGCCUUCGGGUUGUAAACCGCUUUCGCCUGUGACGAAGCGUGAGUGACGGUAAUGGGUAAAGAAGCACCGGCUAACUACGUG
rnacentral:rRNA from 1 species